rnacentral:rRNA from 1 species
GACGAACGCUGGCGGCGUGCUUAACACAUGCAAGUCGAACGGAAAGGCCCUGCUUUUGUGGGGUGCUCGAGUGGCGAACGGGUGAGUAACACGUGAGUAACCUGCCCUUGACUUUGGGAUAACUUCAGGAAACUGGGGCUAAUACCGGAUAGGAGCUCCUGCUGCAUGGUGGGGGUUGGAAAGUUUCGGCGGUUGGGGAUGGACUCGCAGCUUAUCAGCUUGUUGGUGGGGUAGUGGCUUACCAAGGCUUUGACGGGUAGCCGGCCUGAGAGGGUGACCGGGCACAUGGGGACUGAGCUACGGCCCAGACGGCUACGGGAGGCAGCAGGGGGGAGUAUUGCAGAAUGGGCGGAAGCCUGAUGCAGCAACGCCGCGUGCGGGAUGACGGCGUUCGGGUAAUAAACAGCUUUCGCCUGUGACGAAGCGUGAGUGACGGUAAUGGGUAAAGAAGCACCGGCUAACUACGUG